GCUGAAAUAGCUCAGCUGGUAGAGCAACUGAUUCGUAAUCAGUAGGUCGGGGGUUCGAAUCCUCUUUUCAGCACCA
rnacentral:tRNA from 1 species